AGAUUGUCCGAAGGUAGUGAGUUAUCUCACUUGAUUGUUCACAGUCAGUAACAGAUUGAACUCCUUGUUCUACUACUUUCCCUCCUUCUCACUACUGCACUGGACUAGUAUAAA
ensembl:misc_RNA Y_RNA Y RNA